rnacentral:rRNA from 14 species
UCCGACCUCAGAUCGGACGAGAUUACCCGCUGAAUUUAAGCAUAUAACUAAGCGGAGGAAAAGAAACUAACAAGGAUU